rnacentral:rRNA from 1 species
GACGAACGCUGGCGGCGUGCUUAACACAUGCAAGUCGAACGGAAAGGCCCUGCUUUUGUGGGGUGCUCGUGUGGCGAACGGGUGAGUAACACGUGUGUAACCCGCCCUUGUCUUUGGGAUAACUUCACGAAACUGCGGCUAAUACCGGAUAGGAGCUCCUGCUGCAUGGUGGGGGUUGGAAAGUUUCGGCGGUUGGGGAUGGACUCGCGGCUUAUCAGCUUGUUGGUGGGGUAGUGGCUUACCAGGGCUUUGACGGGUAGCCGGCCUGGGAGGGUGACCGGCCACAUUGCGCCUGCGAUACGCAGCAGUCGCGUACGGGACGCAGCAGUCGGGAACAUUGCGCAAUAGGCGGAAGCCUGAUGCAGAAACGCCGCGUGCGUGAUGACGGCCUUCUGGGUGUAAACCGCUUUCGAAUGUGACGAAGCGAGAGUGACGGUACCGGGUAAAGAAGCACCGGCUAACUACGUG